rnacentral:rRNA from 1 species
UACGUAGGGUGCGAGCGUUAAUCGGAAUUACUGGGCGUAAAGCGUGCGCAGGCGGUUCGUUAAGUCAGAUGUGAAAGCCCCGGGCUCAACCUGGGAACUGCAUUUGAAACUGGCGGGCUUGAGUGUGGCAGAGGGGGGUGGAAUUCCGCGUGUAGCAGUGAAAUGCGUAGAGAUGCGGAGGAACACCGAUGGCGAAGGCAGCCCCCUGGGCCAACACUGACGCUCAGGCACGAAAGCGUGGGAGCAAACAGG